rnacentral:rRNA from 1 species
CCUACGGGGGGCAGCAGUCGAGAAUCAUUCACAAUGGGGGAAACCCUGAUGGUGCGACGCCGCGUGGGGGAAUGAAGGUCUUCGGAUUGUAAACCCCUGUCAUGUGGGAGCAAAUUAAAAAGAUAGUACCACAAGAGGAAGAGACGGCUAACUCUGUGCCAGCAGCCGCGGUAAUACAGAGGUCUCAAGCGUUGUUCGGAAUCACUGGGCGUAAGGCGUGCGUAGGCUGUUUCGUAAGUCGUGUGUGAAAGGCGCGGGCUCAACCCGCGGACGGCACAUGAUACUGCGAGACUAGAGUAAUGGAGGGGGAACCGGAAUUCUCGGUGUAGCAGUGAAAUGCGUAGAUAUCGAGAGGAACACUCGUGGCGAAGGCGGGUUCCUGGACAGUAACUGACGCUGAGGCACGAAGGCCAGGGGAGCGAAAGGGAUUAGAUACCCUGGUAGUC